AUUUAUAUAGUUUAAUAAAACAUUACAUUUUCAUUGUAAAAUUAGAAUUUUUUCUUAUAAAUA
rnacentral:tRNA from 1 species